GGGCGGGCAUCCUCAGUCGGUAGAGCACGAGACUCUGAAUCUCGGGGUUGUGGGUUCGAGUCCCGCAUCGGGCA